rnacentral:lncRNA from 1 species
GACAUGACGCGAAACUAUUUACUACUAGUCUUCUACUGAAAAUUAAUAAAUUACCCCACAAACAAAUAGCACAAGAACAAUUCAAAGAACUUAUCAAAUCCUUCUGAUAAAACAAAUAAUCAUGGUAAAUAAUAAAAAAAAGAGAAAUUACUGAAUCAAAGAGUUGAAAGAGUAAGAGCUGGCAAAAGGUUGUCAGAAUCUAUAGGAUUCUUGUCAUUUUUUCUUGAAAUGUAAAAACAGCAAAAGACUAGAAUGGAGAAAACUUUUUUUUUCUGUGUCUUUCAUUCAUCAUCGUACAAUGCAUAUAUACAACUAACAAG